CACUGUAAAGCCCCUAGCCAUUCUCAAUCUCUGUAUCUAGAAAAAGUGUCAUGCAAUCGCCAAUAACAAGCCUACAUUUGUAGCAAUACUUUUGUGGAGUCAAAUGGUCAUCCGUACUUUUUUUAUUUGGUUAUCGAUCUACUUAUUUAAAUUUUAGCAGCCUCCCUUGAACGUGUUAUUUAAUGUGUAGAUAAUGAAUUGCCAUAAUCCCUAAGUGCGAUGUCACAAAAGUGCGUGAACGUAGAGAUUGCAGGCUUAUAAUUUUUUGGCAAGAGCCCAGAAUAGAGAACAUGUUGUUGGGUUGGA